CCUACGGGGGGCAGCAGUGGGGAAUAUUGCACAAUGGGCGCAAGCCUGAUGCAGCCAUGCCGCGUGUGUGAAGAAGGCCUUCGGGUUGUAAAGCACUUUCAGCGGGGAGGAAGGCGGUGAGGUUAAUAACCUCAUCGAUUGACGUUACCCGCAGAAGAAGCACCGGCUAACUCCGUGCCGGCAGCCGCGGUAAUACGGAGGGUGCAAGCGUUAAUCGGAAUUACUGGGCGUAAAGCGCACGCAGGCGGUCUGUCAAGUCGGAUGUGAAAUCCCCGGGCUCAACCUGGGAACUGCAUUCGAAACUGGCAGGCUAGAGUCUUGUAGAGGGGGGUAGAAUUCCAGGUGUAGCGGUGAAAUGCGUAGAGAUCUGGAGGAAUACCGGUGGCGAAGGCGGCCCCCUGGACAAAGACUGACGCUCAGGUGCGAAGGCGUGGGGAGCAAACAGGAUUAAUACCCUGGUAGUC
rnacentral:rRNA from 1 species